rnacentral:rRNA from 14 species
UUCGGGAAAAGGAUUGGCUCUAAGGGCUGGGUGUUGGGGCCUCUCUCUGGAGCCUCGCCUAGAGCACGGAACGCGGACCCUCACGGGACUGUGAGCCGAGCACCGGGCGUGGUGACGGGGUGCUGGCAUUCCCUUCACGAGGAACAGCCAACUUAGAACUGUAACGGACAAGGGGAAUCCGACUGUUUAAUUAAAACAAAGCAUUGCGAUGGUCCCUGCGGAUGCUGACGCAAUGUGAUUUCUGCCCAGUGCUCUGAAUG